rnacentral:rRNA from 1 species
UACGAAGGGUGCAAGCGUUACUCGGAAUUACUGGGCGUAAAGCGUGCGUAGGUGGUUCGUUAAGUCUGAUGUGAAAGCCCUGGGCUCAACCUGGGAAUUGCAUUGGAUACUGGCGGGCUAGAGUGCGGUAGAGGAUGGCGGAAUUCCCGGUGUAGCAGUGAAAUGCGUAGAGAUCGGGAGGAACAUCUGUGGCGAAGGCGGCCAUCUGGACCAGCACUGACAAUGAGGCACGAAAGAGUGGGGAGCAAACAGG